AAACUUCACACUGGGGGGAACCCCGAUGAGGGAAUUCCUAGUGCUUGGGCAUUUGUCCAAGCUUUUCCCGAGCGUAGAUAACUCGGGGAAUAAGGGCUGGGUAAGACGGGUGCCAGCCGCCGCGGUAAUACCUGCAGCCCGAGUGGUGGUCGAUUUUAUUGAGUCUAAAGCGUUCGUAGCCGGUCCGUUAAAUCCUUGGGUAAAUCGGGAAGCUCAACUUUCCGACUUCCGAGGAGACUGGCGGACUUGGGACCGGGAGAGGCCAGAGGUACUUCUGGGGUAGGGGUAAAAUCCUGUAAUCCUAGAAGGACCACCGGUGGCGAAGGCGUCUGGCUAGAACGGAUCCGACGGUGAGGGACGAAGCCCUGGGUCGCAAACGGGAUUAGAUACCCCGGUAGUCCAGGGUGUAAACGCUGCCGACUUGGUGUUGGGGGCCCUUCGGGGGAACGUCAGUGCCGGAGAGAAGUUGUUAAGUCGGCCACUUGGGGAGUACGUCCGCAAGGAUGAAACUUAAAGGAAUU
rnacentral:rRNA from 1 species